GGUUUAGAUCUGUUUUCUUCUGUCAUAGUUCAAGUCAACUCCCAAGGUGGAAAUAUCCCCCUAUAAGAAGUGAUGCCCAAUCCAGAUUCCCCAGAACCUGAACCUGUAUCCUCUCCAUCUCCAUCAGAUUCUCAAGCACCUGCAGAUUCCACAUCAAAGGCCUGGACUACUCCCUCAUCCUAGCCUACAUCUUUCAAAACCACUUAAAGUAUGGAAUUCAUUUUUUCCCCCUAAAUUGUUAGUAUACAUUUUAUAAAAUACUGUGAUAUUUAUAAUGUGCUUUAUUCUGAUUUUUAUCAUUAUUCCUUACUACUAAACACAUUUAGUGACAUCUGUACCAGUACUCCCUCCCUCAUCCUACCCUACGUCUUUCAAAAUCACUGAAAGAUAAACAUUUCAUGUACAGGAAAUAGGUGUAUACUACAUACAGCUACAAAUUAAAGCCAAAAUUUGGAGGGUUUUGGAUGCACAGCUCUUCAAAAUGCAGGUACUGUUCCAGACACCCAAAGGAUUGUAGGUA